rnacentral:rRNA from 1 species
UACGGAGGGUGCGAGCGUUGUCCGGAAUCGCUGGGCGUAAAGGGCGCGUAGGUGGCGCGGGCAGUCAACGGUGAAAGUUCGGGGCUCAACCCUGAAUCGGCCGUCGAUACUCCCGGGCUUGAGCACUGUAGAGGCUAAUGGAAUUCCGGGUGUAGCGGUGGAAUGCGUAGAGAUCCGGAAGAACACCGGUGGCGAAGGCGGUUAGCUGGGCAGUUGCUGACACUGAGGCGCGACAGCGUGGGGAGCAAACAGG